AACGCACGAGACCUGCGGACCUGCGGAGGGAUCAUUAACACGUUUUAAACGUAUCAACCAACCGCGAACUCUGACGUUAGUAACCUCUCUUCAGUUUUCGGACUGGAGAGACGGUUGCGCCUGAGCAUGUUAGGGGAAAGUGCUGUUUAGGAGCCUGGCUCCUCUACAGAGGCUUCCUUUAGCACUGUUCAUAUUAACCCAAACCAUAUUUGUUGUCAUUUUUUCUGUUCUAAAGGACGU
rnacentral:misc_RNA from 1 species